GUGGUGGUGGGGGUGGUUGUUUCUUCUUCGCCGGGGAGGUUGAUAAAGCGAGGACGACGAAACGACGUCGUAUUGGAGGAAUCUGGUGGUGGUGAUGAGAUUUUGUCGGUGUAGUUGGCUACGGCGGUGUUGUUGGGUGACUUCAUUAUGAGGACGGUGAUGGAGAGGCGGUGGUCCCGGUCGAGGAGGAGCUUGGCCAUCUCCACGGUGGCGAUGAGGUGGCUCAGCCCUGGUGACGGGAUGAAUACCAAUUCGGUUUUCUCCAUUGUUGAUUGGUUGUACAAAUGAGCUUCCAGGGUUUGAUUUUUAAGGGGAUACGAUUUGGGGGUGAAAGGACGCCAUUCACCAUUUGACACGUGGAUAUUUUUUAAUUAAUUAAAUAUUUUAUAAAGCUUUAGAAGAGUACAAAUUAAAUAACAUUUCACGAAAUAUAGAAGAAUAUGUUUAAUAUAACAUUAUAAGGGUAGACGUGUAAUAAAAUUCAUAGUUGAGAGGUAGUUGCAGUUAUCCAAACAUGAGGGGUACCUUUGUAAUUUGAUACCUCAGGGGUAGUUGUAAUUUACCCUAUUCCAUUUUUUCAUAUCUUUGUGUCUCUUUUUUGCCCCUUAUGUAUUAUUUGGGUCCCUUUUGCUACCGCCAUUAAAUCAUAUUGAUUAAAAAGGAGUUGAUAUAUAGUAAGUAGUAACAUAUUUAGUUAGACAUAAUUCAAACUAAUUAAAGCGCCCGAUGCAAGUUACCUACAGUCAAAUACCACUAUUCAUUAAAAUUAGUAGUUAUCAUAUUUCUUGUGGUUAGUUAUGAGUUUUGUAGAACCUACGUCCAGUGAAAUAUAUGAUAGAGUUUGGCAUCAUUGAUUUACAUAUAAUAAUAAAUAGACAUGCAUAUAUUUCCUUCGUGGAUAGUUAUUUUUGUAAAUUUAUGAUUCAAAAUUUCAUGGUGUAUUUCAUCAGGUGUAGGAUCUCAAAAGCCGUUAGUUGUGUAGGACGGUGCGUGGUGCGUAGGGCUGGCAAUUGGAUUAUGUGAGCCGAUCAUUACAUACCGUCGGGACACAUUACUAUAGGAUCAAACUCACAUGCCAUCGAUCAUCAUUAGUGUAGGCUCAAGUAUGGCUGAUAUAUUUUUUCGGGUUCCUGGUUUAUAUCCGGACCCCAUUAAAUAUACAGGUAAUAAGCAAAAAGAAAAUUAUAAAAUACGUGAUAGACAAGAUUUACCUCCAAUGAAGCCAAUCCAAAAAAACCCUAAAAUGAUAUUUGCAAGUUAUUGGAAAAACUUAAAAACAAAAUUGGAAGAAGUAAAGAAAAAAGAUUAGAAACUGUUAUUAAUAUUCUCUAAUUUCAGUGAUAAAUUUCAGCAAUUGGAUUUCGGUGGGUAUUUUGCAUUUGAUUCAUAUUUUACAUAUUGCCAUCGCCACCACUUUAUUUCUUUUAUUUUACAAAAUAAAAUAAUCUUAUAUGGUCGGAACUUGUAUGUUGAGUCAUAACAUUAAAAUAAUAAAUAUAUUAUAUAUUUCAUUAUUAGCUUAAUCGGUCGGCCUUAUACGAAUUGAGCCAUAGUAUGCUCAAACUCAGCUCUAAAAUAAAUCAGGUUUAGUAAAAUGACUCAAACUCGACCCAACUCACUAAAAAAUAAAUUUGACUCAAAUAUAAUUGGACAAAACCAUCGGGCUUCGGUUAGACCCGACUCAAUUGUCCGUCACAGUGGUGCAUAUAUUUGUUAUCCAAUAUAUUUAUAUAACACAUUCUGGAAUAUAAUAUAAAUUAUUUUUUUCUCAAAAUACACAAAUAUAUUGAUUUCUUAACAAAUUCUCCAAAUACAAGAAAGUUCAAAUCAAAUUCUUCAACUUAAUUCCAUUUUGCACCUUGAAAUAUAUAUUGUUUUGUCAUUUUUUCCUUCGAAACACAAUAAAUAAUACACAAUGCACCCCAAUAAAAUUUUAAAACUAAUGAAAAUAAUUUAAUAUUUUAAAUGAUAUUUUGUAGGACACCAAAUGUCAAAUCAAAAACUUUAUAUUUAUCAAAAACUUUACAACUAUAAAGUGCAAAAAAAAAUAAAAAAAAUAUACAUCUGAUCACCAAUAUAUUUAUAUAACAGUUUGAAAUGAAAGAUCUUGGUCACCUCAGUUACUUCUUGGGACUUGAGAUUACUCACUCCAAAGAUGGUCUUUACAUUGCUCAGGCCAAAUAUGCAUCUGACCUCUUAUCUCAAGCCGCACUCACUGAUAGCAAGAUCAUUGACACUCGAGUUGAACUAAAUACUCACUUGACUCCCUCAGGGGGGGACAUUGUUGUCAAAUCUGUCACUUUAUAGGCGUUGUUUCGUGGGCAGUCUAGUCUAUCUUACUGUCACUCGUCCUGAUAUCUCAUAUGCGAUUCAUCAAGUGAGUCAAUAUCUAUCAUUUCCAAGAUCGCUUCACUAUGCUGCCGCUCUACGCAUCCUUCGAUAUCUAAAGGGUACUCUUUUUCAUUGUCUUUUAUAUUCUACUGAGUCGCCUCUAGUUCUUCGAGCAUUCUCCGAUAGUGAUUGGGCUGGAGAUCCCACUGAUCGCAUGUCAACUACUGGUUAUUGUUUUCUUCUUGGCACAUCUUUAAUAUCUUGGAGAUGUAAGAAACAAACAUUUGUUGCCCGAUCCAGCACUGAAGCAGAAUAUCGUGCUCUUGCGGAUACCACAUCUGUGCUCCUUUGGCUUCGAUGGCUUAUCAAGGACUUAGGAGUAUCAACAUCUUCUCCCAUUCCUCUUCAUUGUGACAAUCGAAGUGCUAUCCAUAUUAGUCACAAUGAUGUCUUUCAUGAACGAACUAAACACAUUGAGAUAGACUGUCAUUUUAUCCGUUCAUACAUUAUUCAAGGUGUUCUCAAGCUCUUCUCGGUCUCUUCCAAAGAUCAACUUGCAGAUAUCUUCACAAAGCCUCAUCCUAAGGGACGUCAUCAUGAUUUGGUCUACAAUGUCAAGUUGGUUUGUCACCCUCCUUGAGUUUGAGGAGGGGGGGGGGGGGGGGGGGAGGGGGUUGUUAAUGUAUAUUAUUGUAGAAUAAUUAGGGAUUUGAUUUGAUAUACUUUACAUAAGUUAGGAGAUUUGAUUUCAUUGUAAUUAGUUGUUUCCUUAUAUAGCUUUCUCUCUAUGUCAUAAAUAGUGCCUCCUAUGAAGAAGAAUACAUAUCAAAUUUUCCUCAAUUAUCUUACCAGAUUGAAAGAGAUAAUGAGUUGAAAUUGAAAAAGAUAAACAAUAAAAAUCUUAUUUUUCUUGUAAUAAAAAAAAUAGAAACAAAUAUUUUUCCGAUAUAUUAUGACCGCAUAUAUCGGUUUGACCUGCCAAAUACCGCCUUAGAUCGUCUCAAAAAACCCAAUUUUCAAAACCGCCACACAAAUUUCGUAAUGGUUUAUACACGCCACUGAUAUGGCCGCCGAUAUAUCAACCGACAUUACCGAUUAGAACACCGCUAACUAUAGCAUUUGUAAUAACAUCCUCAAUAAAAAGAGAGAGAGCAUUGAAAGAAGGACCAACUUCACGCAAAGCCAAGUUGCUCUUGUACAUCAUCUCCUUCACUUUCCCCCUCACCCCACCUCCACCCUCCUCCUCCGCCGUCAUCAACCGCCGUAUCGCCGCCUCUAUCUCCGCCGCUCCAACAAUCUCCGGCGGACUAUCUCCCUUAAAAUCAAUCUUGUAGUCUAUACUAAUCUCCUCCGCCAUCCCUAGUUCCUUCACCAGCUGGAAUGCGUUCAGCUGCUGCUCGGCGUACAUCGGAAAAGUAGCUAUCGGAACACCCAACGAAACGCUCUCCAAAAUCGAAUUCCACCCGCAGUGCGAAACGAAACCCCCCACCGCCGGAUGCGACAGCACCGCCACCUGCUCCGCCCACCCGAUCACCUUUCCGAUCCCCUUAGUCCUCUCUAGAAACCCCUCCGGCAGAACUUCGUCAAAAGAUUCGUACUCCGUCGGAGGCUGUCUCUUUGACCCUUUUGCCCCUGGCUUUCUCAACGACCACAAGAACCGGGCCCCACUCUUCUCUAACGCCGUCGCUAUUUCCCUAACCUGGGAUUCGUCGAAACUUCCCAUUGUCCCGAAACACAAGAAAACCACCGACUUUUCCGGCUGUUCGUCCAGCCAAUUGCUGACGUCAUCAUCAACACUAUUGUAUUUGUAUAAGUUCCAAACGGGCCCGAUUGGGUAAAUUCUGGGGGUUUGACUUUUUCCGCCGGACUGGAGAAAGUCAACGGCGUAGGAUUCGAGCUCGUAGAAAGUGUUGACCACAAUACCCUUGGUAUCUUUCAAUCUUCUGAAGCGAUCCAAGAAAAUAUCCGCCAUGGGGCCUUCUUUGACCAACGUAGCCGGAAAGACCUUGGCCGGAACCGGGACCGAGAAACACGGGACAGACAACUCCAUGUCCGAAUCCUUGUACUGAGUCAGAUCUUGUCCCUGAUCGAAUUUAAGCGACGCCAGGUGGCGGAAGAAGCCGAGACUGCACGCGCCGGAGGUGAAGAAGACAUACGCCGGGAUGCCGAAUUCGUCGGCGAUGUCGACGAAUUUGGUGCAGAACAUGUCGAGAACCAGACCACCCAGUAGGGAAAAACUAGGUUGUUGUCGUUCGUCGGCGAUAAUAUCGGAGAUGAUUUUUCUGAUGUGGGUUGACUGGCUGUCGAUGAAAUCGAAUAUAAAUGUGUCGGAAGAAGGGGUGGUGGUUGAUUCUUCUUCGCCGGGAAGAUUGAUGAAGCGGGGAUGACAAAUCCACGUCGUAUUGGAGAUUUUUUCUACGUAGUUGGCGACGGCGGUGUUGUUGGGUGACUUCAUGAUGAGGACGGUGAUGGAGAGGCGGGGGCGGGGGCGGUCCCGUUCGAGGAGGAGCGUGGCCAUCUCCACGGUGGCGAUGAGGUGGCUCAGCCCUGGUGACGGGAUGAAUACCAAUUCGGUGAUCUCCAUUGUUGGUUGGUUGACCAAAUGAGCUUCCAGGGUUUGACUUUUAAAGGGAAAGGGUGGGGGUUUGUUUGUGAAAUGGACGCCAUUCACCUUCUGACACGUGGAUAUUUUAGACUAAAUAUUUUAAUGUAAAUUAAAUUACAGCUACCCGUCAAAUCAUGAAACUUCUUACACAUCCACCAUUAUGGUGUCAAAUUCAACAAUGGAUGUUCUCUAGUUUGUACUCGUUUUGUGUAAUAAUGUAGUUUCUGAUGCACCACAAUCUAAUAUUUACAAGAUUAGAGACACAUCUUAUGAUCAUCUUGUUUCAAAAUGUGGAGUUCGAAUGGGGUACAAAUUGAAAACUAUUCCACAUAAUCUAGAAAAUUACACUAAAUUGACGCCACAAGAGUGGACGUGUAUAAAGAUUUAUAGUGGAGAGGUGAUUGUAAUUAACCAAUUUUAAGAGUUUUUUUUUUUUUUUAAUUUACAUCAGGAAUGAUUGUAAUUUAGUUUUUUUAUGUUGAGUGGGGUCCAUUUUUAUGUGUAACGGAUGAUCCCCAUUCACAAUGUAUUCCCUUUAUAUUAGUUUUAGUGUCCCAUUUGCUACGGCCAUUAAAUCAUAUUGAUUAUAUAGGAGUUAAUAGUAACAUAUUUAGUUGACAUGAUUCAAACUAUUUAAAGCGUGAUACAAGUUGUUGCCUACAAUCAAAUAGCACUAUUCAUUAAAAUUAGUAGUUAGUUAUCAUAUUCCUUGUUAUCUGGUGUAUGAUCUCAAAAGUCGUUAAUUGUGUAGGAUGGUACGUGGUGCUUUGAUUAUCCUAAUAUGUUUAUAUAGCACAUUCUAGAAUAUAAUCUAAAUUAUUAUUAUGGUUUUUCUCAAAAUAUAAACAUAUUUUAAUUUCUUAACAUGUUCUAAAAAAAAAAAAAAUCAUAUCAAAUUCUUCAACUUAAUCUCAUUUUGCACCUUGAAAUAUAUUUUUUUGCCACUUUUCACCUUCGGAAUAUAAUAUAUAAUACAAUGCACCCCAAUAAAAGUUUAAAACUAAUGAAAAUAAUUUAAUAUUUUCAAUGGUGUUUUUUAUGGCGCCAAAUAUCAAAUCGAAAGUUUUAUAAUUAUCAAUUCUUUUCAAACUAUACAUAGCAAAAAUAAAAGUAAAUAUCAUCAACAUUUUUAAAAAUUAACUUUUUAUACUAAAUAUUUUUAGCAAAUUACAAUAAAAGAUCCACCAAUCGAAUAAUUUAGUUGUUUUGCAACCUGGGAAUAAAAGACAUAAAAUAAAAUAAUACAGUUGAAAAUAUUCAAUUCAUGGUGCAUCGUGAAUGAUUUGUUGUAUUUUGAUAGUACAAACUGCUAUUAAUUCUUAUAAGGGUCGAAAGUGCCAAAUUACAAAUAUCCAAGGAUCUUCUUGCAAACAUUCACUAAACAGCAUCUUUGAUAAUAUCCUCAAUAAAAAGAGACAAAGCUUCGUAAGAAGAACCACCUUCAAGCAACGCCGCCCUGCUCUUACUCUGCAUCUCCUUCACCUUCCUCCUAACCCCACCUCCACCCUCCUCCUCCUCCGCCGCCAUCAACCGCCGUAUCGCCGCCUCAAUAUCCGCGGCACCCACAAUCUCCGGCGGACUGUCCCCCCUAAAAUCAAUCUUGUAGUUUAUUCUAAUCUCCUCCGCCAUCCCCAAUUCUUUCACCAGCUGGAACGCGUUCAGCUGCUGCUCGGCGUACAUCGGAAAAGUGGCCACCGGAACCCCGUACCACACGCUCUCCAGCGUCGAGUUCCACCCGCAGUGCGAGACGAAACCCCCCACCGCCGGAUGCGACAGCACCGCCACUUGCGGGGCCCACCCCGUCACUCUCCCGAUACCCUCCGUCCUCUCCAGAAACCCCUCCGGCAGAACCUCCUCAAAAGAUUCGUACUCCGUCGGAAACAUUAUCUUUGACCCUUUUACCCCUGGCUUCCUCAACGACCACAAGAAACGCUUCCCGCUCUUCUCCAACGCCGCCGCUAUUUCCCUAACCUGGGAUUCCUCGAAACUCCCCAUUGUCCCGAAACACAAGAAAACCACCGAGUUCUCCGGCUGCUCGUCGAGCCACUUCUUGAUUUCCUCCGAUUUGAUUCUUUUAUCGUCGUCGCCGCCGCCGCCGCCGGAGUUGAGAAUAGGUCCGAUGGGGUAAAUUUUCGGGGUUUGACUUUUGCCGCCGGACCGGAGAGAGUCAACGGCGUAGGAUUCGAGCUCGUAAAAAGUAUUCACCAUGAUCCCUUUCAUAUCCUUCAAUCUACUGAAGUAGUUCAUGAACACAUCCGCCAUCGGACCGCCUUCCACCAUCACCGCCGGGAGAAUCUUCGCCGGAACCGGAAGCGAGAAGCUCGGCACCGCCAUCGCCGUGUCGGAACCCUUGUACCGCGUCAGGUCCUCACCGCGAUCGAGCUUCAGCGAUACGAGGUGGCUGAGUACGCCGAGGCUGCACGCGCCGGACGUGAAGAAAACGUACGCUGGGAUCCCGAACUCGUCAGCGAUCUCGACGAACUUCGUGCAGAACAUGUCGAGCACGAGAGCGCCCAUUCGGGAAGUACGAGGUUGUUUAACGAGAUCCGAGACUAUCUCUCGGAUGUUCGUCGACUGCCUGUCGAUUAAAUCGAACGUGAACGUCUUCGAAGGCGUGCCGCCGGUUUUUGCGGCUUCUUCCUCGUCGCCGGGGAGGUUGACGAAGCGGAGAUGCGACGACGACGAGGCGGCGGAGGAGAAUUUCUCAAUGUAGCUGGCCACGGUGGUGUCGUUGGGGAGCUUCGUGAUGAGGACGGUGAUCGAGAGGCGGUGGCGGUUGUCGCGGUCGAGGAGGAGCUUGGCCGUCUCCACGGUGGAGAUGAGGUGGCUCAGCCCUGGUGAUGGGAUGAAUACCAAUUCGGUUUUCUCCAUUUCUUGAUUUCUUUCAAGUGUAGGGUGUUGGUUUGAUGAAAUAAAGUAUUUUAGGGGUUGAAUUUAUAAAGAGGAUAAGAUAAGGUGAGGGGGGGAAGUUGCAAAAUGAAGACUUGCAAUCCUGCAUCAUGGGUCUAUGUUUUGUCGUAAUUUGGGACUAUUUGUUUACGGCUAAGAAUUUGCCAACGGUUGUCUUUAAUUAUUAGUGUUCCAAGCUUAUUGCAAGUGUUGUUUCCAUCCAAUUGCUAAAAGCAAAUUUUUCUUUUUGGAAAAUAAAAAUAAAUAAAUCAAUUAUGAGUAGGGUUCGCAAUCGUGUGAGUCGAGUUUGGGCCGACUCAAAUUAACAUACUGUUGGGAUUUGUAUCGAGUUUCGGGUUUAUAUCGGGCUUCAUUACUAUAUAACUGCGACGAGUAAAAUUAUAUUUUAUGAAAGUAAGUGAUAAAUAAGAUUUACCCUAUUAAUGUCAAUCCAAAGGAACCUUAAACGAUCAUUGUAAGUUAGUGGAAAACUUAGAAACAAGACUGAAAUAAGUACAAAAAAAAAAAAAUGCAUAUUUUAUUAUUUGAAACAUUUUUAAUUUUCAAAGUUUAAUGAUAAAUUUCAGCAGUUGGAUUUGGGUGAGUAUGUUGCAUUUGAUUCUUAUUUUUAUAUGUUUAUAACUUGUAUUUGGGCGUAUUAGUAAAAUAAUGAAUAUAUAUUAUAUAUUUUAUUAACUUAAUCGGUCGGAUUUUAUUCGGAUUAAGCUAUAAUAAACUCAAACUCGGCUCAUAAAUAAAUUGGAUUUACUAAAAUGACUCAAACUCGAUCCGAUCCAUUAAAAAAAAGUUCAGUUCAAAUAUAAUCGAACCGAGUCAUCGGGCUUGGGUUAGGCCCGGCUCAACUGCCGGUCCUACUCAAGAUGAUUUUCUUUAACACGAUCCUUUUAAAAAAAUUAUAUGAAAUAUUUCACUAAUGAAAAUGAAAUAAUUUGGUAUUUUAACAUUAAAAGUAUAUAAGCUAAAGUUGUGGUAUCCAUGGCAAGAUGGGUAGAGAUGUCGUUUUAACGUAUAUGUUAAUCAACGGUUCAGAUUAAAUCACAAAAGUAUGUUGAGAAGUUGGAUUUGAAUUAUAUACGUUGAAUGAUGCAGUUGAUCUUUCUACAUUUUGACUCCCUUUUUCUUUCUAGGAAUUUUCUAGGUAAUCUUUAUAUAUAAAAGAAAGGUUUUGCCCGAAACCCUAAUCCCAUUUUUGUGAAAUCUUUGUAACCCUAAGGUUAUUUUAGGUAAGUCAUGCCUAAAUGAUUCAUAUUUAUUUUUCUUUUUGUCCGUUUUAUAGUUUUUAUUUUUGUUUCCUUUAUUUUCUCCACUUUUAUAGCUUACGUUAUUUUAUUUGUUUUAUCAUUUUUUUUCUCUCUACCACUAACUUUUAUCUCCUUUUAUAUAGCAACAUUUUUUCAUAUUUGUAUUAUUUUCUCUGUAAUUAAUUGCCGUUUCUUAAGCACACGUAUUUAGGUAAGUUAUUUUUUUUUCCUUUAUCCUCAUUAUUUUGGAAUUUAUUUUAGCCACUUUUCCUAAUUUCUUGCACACGUUCUGUUAGUUUUUUUUUUUCAUUCUUCUUUUUUCCUGUUCUUCCAUUUAUUUUUAAUUGUUUAUCUCAAGCAUUGACAUGUGAGGACGUACAUAAAAAAAAUUUGUUUUGUCACUGCUUCUUUAUUUCUCAUCCCAUUCAUGUUUUUUUUUUUUUUUUUUUUUUUGCAGAUAUUUGUGCAUGCCUUACUUUUUUCAAAUUUGCACGGAUAUUUCACUGUUAAUUGUUUAUGUUAUUUUUUUUGAUUAGAUUCCGAUCUUACAUGAUAUUUAUGUUUGUGUUUGUGUACUAUGUGGAUAAUUAUGAUGUCUGAUUAUUUUUUUUUUUGUUGUUGUAACAUAAGAUGUUAUCUUUAUUGGGUUGCUUAUUAUCUACAGAAAAUGAAGCAUAAAUUGCUUCAGAUGUAAAAUGGUAAAGUUUUACGAAUUUCCGUUUUUCCUGAUAAUUUGUCUCUCUACAUAUUCGUUAAUUUAUGUGUUUCUGACAAUUUGGUGGAAUUUCGAUGAAAAGAGUUUUCUUGAUUUUAUGUGCAGGAGGUCAACUUGAAACCAUCAAGAAGGUCAUGUCUAUCAUUUUUUUUGGAUCAAUUUCUUAAUCUCCUACUUUGUAUAUAUUCUAAUUUUUCUUUUAAUUUGAAUUUAAAUUACUGGGCGUUGUAUUGAGUGUGAUGAAGUUUUCUGUAUGGUUAAAUUAAUUUUUGCUUAAUAUGAAUUUUAAAAUAACAGAAAAAUAUUACUUAUGUUACAAAUUUUUUGAUGUUCUUUAUUAAGAUAAAAUAUUUGAGAAAUGAUUUUGCUCAAUCUUAGAUAAAAUGUUUCUAAUUGUUAUUGGUGAAUUUGAUUGAGAGUGCAAGGUCUGCAUGCAAAAAAAGUAUUUGCAAGAAGCAUGCCGAAGCAAAGCAUCCAAGGCUCAUCACUUAAAUGCAUAUUUACUUUUUUUUCAUCAAUAUUUAGUAUGUUUAAAUUUGUUAGUUCAAUUUAUUCGACAACUUCUCACUUUCUAAUAACUCUCACGUUUUCACCCACCGUUGUGUCUUCUCCUUAUUCUUCUUCUCCACUAUCAUCGACCGUGUCCUGCAAUUUUUCAUGGCUUAUGAUUUUAUUUAUUUAUUUUUUAUUCUUCGACCUUGCGCCGCAGUUAUUAGGAUUUUGUUCGCUGCCCAGUGAAAUCUGAAAUUUUGCUGCUGAAGAAUUCAAAGUGCCUCCUCAAACCAAUGCCAUAAUCAUUAAACGGUAUUCAAGAAGAAAAAAAAUACUUUAUUUUUCUUAUUUUCUUAGUUCUGAUUUAUUUCCUUAUGAUAUUUUUGUCAAAAAAUUUCUUUAGCAGGAUCUCUUAUGUUCCUUUUAUGUUUAACGUUAAAUGAUGAGCUCUCAUCAAUAUGAAUCUUUUAUUGGAAUUUGUUAAAUCAGACUUUUUAAUGAUUGUUGUUCAUGUAGAUGGCGUGGGAUUUAAUCCCCAACAAAGGGCUCAAGUAUUUUAGAUUUUCUUUUUCCAAUUUCAGUUUUGUUAUUGUUUACUACUGUGAGACAGGGUUGAUGAUGUUUGUGAUCGAAGACUUGACAUUGUUUGUUGGCUAUUGGAAAAAUUCCAUUGGUUUGCAUUGUUUUCUGCGUCAAUUAGUUUCACUUGAUAUUCGUAUUAUCUUAGGAUGUGGUUUUUUCCAGUUUUAAAUUUAUUCAAAUGAUUUAUUUAUAUUUAAAUUUAUAUGUGUCGAUCUAUUAAGUAGCUAUGGUUUCCCAAUUUAUUGCCUUCUUUGCAUUAUUUCACAGAUGAAAAUCAAUCGUACAAUUUAUAUAGGUUUUAACAAUUAUUCAUAUUUACUCAAUAAUCAUAUACAAUCUUGAAUUUCUGUAACUAUUUUUAUUAAAAGCUCGAUUAUUUGAUAAAUAAAUUUAUUAUAUUUUUCGUUACAACAACAUAUACUACAAAAACGACCACCUGGAUACGUGGGCAUGGACUUACACAUUUAGAGCUUGCAAUGUUGCCACUUCUAUUUUUGUUAUAUCAUUAAUUAUUUUCAACUCUUAGAGUAGCAUAGAUUUUUUUUCUGAUAUGACAGGAGAAAUGUGUGUGCGCUAAUGUGUGUUGGGUUGUUCAUUACAAUGCAAUUAAUAUGUGUGUAUUGGUAGAGUGUCUAUUUGUUGUCAUUCUUAAUAAUUACUGAAGAAUGAUGAAUAUAUAUAUAUAUAUAUAUAUAUAUAAACCUAGGUUGUUUAAUUUAUGCAGAUAGAAACUAACUUUUUGGUUAGUUUGAGGAAUUGGAAAAUAGUUGCAGUAUUUGCUUUUUUUUUUGCCCAACAUUAGUAAGAACUUAGAAAGUCGAUAAACAGAGAGGGAGGAGAGAUUUCAUCAGACAUCUUUUGUUAAAUUCUACAAGAGACUUUGGCAAAUUUUGUAAAAUAAAAUAAAAUAUGAAAAUGUAUUAAUAAUUUCUACACUUUAUUUUUCGUUUACUUUACUCCAUCUAUAUCAACUUCUCUAAUUUAGGUCAUCAUUUAUGCGGGUUGUUUAAAUGUGUUGACAAAGAUCAUCUUUUUACUAACUUUUACAAAAAAAAUUUAGCUGAAUAUUUUAGGAAUAUAAAUGAGAGUUGUGUUAAGUAAAAAAUUUAGCUGAAUAUUUUAGGAAUAUAAAUGAGAGUUGUGUUAAAAUCUCGCCAUUGUUUAUUAACAAGUUAAAGAGAAAUUAAUUUUCACAUUAAUAUUAAUCUGUUUGAUUUUUACCAGUUUUCUUUAUAACUUUAAAGUGUCCUAUUAUUUCAAAAAAACGAUUUUCACAGAAUAUUUUAGACAUACAAAUGAAUAUUAUGUUCAAAUCUGACUAUUUGGAUGAACGAUUUAAGAGAAAUUAAUUUCCAUGUUAAUAUAAUUAAUCUAUUUGAUUUUGUUAAGCUAUAUUUGUUUUUCUCACAUUUUACAUUAAUACAUAUUAUCUAUAUUUUUUCACGAUUAAUUGUAACUAAAAUGAUGUUUAUUUAUUUUUAGUGAGACAUUUUAGACAAUAACAAUUUAAUCAGGUUUGAAGGAUAGAGGAACUUUGGGCGUAUUUGUUGGGAUUUUUUUUUUUUUUUGGAAAACAUUAACAAGCAAAAGUUUAUUUGGGAAAAUUGAUAGGAAAAACCGAGACCUAAUAUUGUCACUAUAUUUUUACGAAUCUCGAUGUUAUUACUGAAAUUUAAAUUUCACAAAUAAAUAUUUUAAUAUUAUGCAAUAUAUAUUCCUUAUUGUCAAUUUUAUUUUUUAUGCAUUUAAAUAAAUAUUUUAUUCCCAUUUGGAAUGUUGUUCCGUGCAUCGCACGGGAUAAAUUACUAGUGAUCUCUAAAUAAAAAUCAAACAUUUCUUUUAUGAAAUGCUAUUUAGGGUUACAAAAUUGCUAUUUGUGGUUUUUUUUAAAAACCUCCCAAAACUUUCCAAAAAAAUUAAAAAACCCCCCCAAACUUCAAAUAGCAAAAAAAAAAAAAAAAAAAAAAAAAUUCGAAAAUUCAAAAUCAAGCUUGAAGAAGGGUUGGACUUCGAUUUUUUAAUGUAAUUUCGACCCUUUUAUGUGUAAUAUGCAUUGGGCAGGUCGAUUGCGGAACCAAUUUUAUGUUAAAAAGCCCUACAAAUCGAUUUGUAGGGCUUUUUUCUUUCACAAAAACAUGUUAGAACGCCCAAGGCGUGUACGAACGCCCGUUCUUUUUCAUGUAUUAUAGACAAUUCCUUAUGUUUUCAUUACUUCAAAAGCAGUGUCGUAGGGCCAUGGCCCCCAACAUUUCUCAAAUCUUUAUUAAUUUAUAAAAAGAUAUAAAAGAAAAUUGUGUACAAUAGUAUUAACAUCCUCCCUUAAUUUUUUUUUUUAAUUCGUUCGACCACCUAACUUAAAAUUUUGGCUUCACUGAUGUUUAAGUGUCAAUUACUUAGUUGUACUAAGGUUUCUUUCACAAUUUGAAACAAGAAGUAGGGUAAAUAAAUUUUCAAUUACGUACAUAAACGAGAAGUUGUGAAUGUCGGAACAAAUAAGUUUAUAUUUCUCUAGUAACGACUUUUAAAUGUCGGAACAAUAUUUCUUUACAGGUGAAACUCUUAAACAUCGGUAGCCACAAUUGGCUUCGACACACUCGUGGUCGCUGCUACAACCAUCUGGGCAGUGUUGUUGCGCGGGUGAUCUCGAGUUGACUCGGUGAGUCAACUCUCUCGCUUCUCCACCUACUCCAAGCAUCUUCGGUGAUGGUAAAACUGCAAAUAAUCAUAUAUAUGAAGAGUGAAUUAAUAUACUUUUAUAUGUGAAUGUACAAAAAUGACCAAUCAACAAAUAGCAUUUCGUUACGAGAUUAAUCGAUCCGGUCCAAAUCUUAUCUGAGCUAGAAAUUUCGAUGAUAAAUUUUUUUUUUUAAAGUCCUAAUUAAUAAAUUAAGAAUGCAAAUAUUAACUGCAAUACUCUAACAUUGUCCAUGAAAAUGCAAGAUAAUGUAUUUAUAUAUAUAUAAAAACACACCUGUUGAGAGCGAGAGAAAUGCACUAAGAUUCACCUGCACAACUCUCUCAUUGCCCACGUUCAAAGUGUGGUUCUUGCGAGUGUGAGUUAUUGACACGCUAAGGUGUGUGUAUAUAUAUAUAUAUAUAUAUAUAUAUAUAUAUAUAUAUAUAUAUAUAUAUAUAUAUAUAUAUAUAUAUAUAUAUUACAGCCAAUUGAUGGUUUUAAUAAUUUAAUUUUCCUAUUAAAUAUUAGGAGGGUUAAGACAAGAUCCUUAGAUUGAUACCUUUUGUCAAAACAAUUAAAAUAACAUUUAUUAUUAGAGAUUUUAUAUGAUUUGUUAACGUUGAUGAUUGAUAGAAAUUGCAAAUUAAAUUAGCAUUAAUAUUUCUUGAGGAUUCUCAAAGAUUUUAGCUUUUUCUUUCUUAUUUUUUCCUAUAAAAUGUUGAAUGAUGCCUUGUAUAAGAAAAUAAAUCAAGGGAAAAUUUGAAAUUAAUUGAUGGAUGAUUUUUCAUAUAAUCAAUAACAUUGCUUAAAUAAUAAUUUCUUCCGUCCUCUACUCAAUAAAAAUGUACUAAAUUAUUAGUUUGAUAAUUUAAUAUAUCAUUAAACUAAUUAGAUUUUUCUAGUCAUACUCCAUUAAUUUGUGGAGAUUUAAUUGUAUUCCAAUAAAGUUGGUUGAAAGUGGAACUACUAAUCACUAAUUAGACAAUUUAAAUAUUAAUAUUUUGAGUUUAGGACUUUUUAGAUCGAUUUUUUUUUUCUUUGGGGUUUUUUGGAUGCAGGUAAGAGUUUGUAAUUAUUACUUUUUUGGUACUUUCCCCUUAAAAAAAAUCGGGUUCUUCUCAAUCAUUGUAAUUUAAUGUAUAUGUCAAUAGAUCCUUCAAAUUUAUUCACAUGUCAACUUGUUGUUAUACAUUAUCUUCACGUCCAAGUUAACUGCUUUUGCCAGCUGGAGCUGCCACCUUCCACGUGCUGAUUUCAUCAACUGCUUCUCUUGUGAUCAUCCAUCCAACUUGAACCAGCUCCAAGCACACACACACACACACACACACACACACAUAUAUAUAUAUGUGUGAAUUAUUUCACAAAAGUCCCACAAGUCCAGUUACAUUAGGUCCAAAAAAAUUUAUCAAUUUUAAGAUAAAUUCAAAAAGUCUUUUAUUAAUUAAAAAAAGUUAAGUUUUACCAUUAUACCCUUUAGGUGGUGUUUGCAAAUGCUUUUUGAAAGUAAUUAUGUGGUUUUUUUUUUUCUUCUCAUAAUCUGUUAUUAGGUGUUUGCAAAAUCAACUUUUGCUUUUGCUUCUCUUAAAAAAAUCUGCUUUAAGCUAUUUUUUUAAAAGCACCCCUAACCCUGCUUUUUCUAUUUAAGUUCAUUUUCCGGAAUAUUUGCAAACACCCCCAACUUUUAGAACUAAGCACUUAAAACUGACUUAACUCACAAUCACUAACUUCUGCUUUUAAAUAAUCAUUUGCAAACACCACCUUAAUUAUUUAUUCACCCCUAAUUUUAUUACGUACAAUAAUCGCCCCCUCUUACUCAAAAAUAGAAAAAAAAAAUCACAACCUCUUAUUCGCCACCUCCCCGUUCCCGUCCCCUUCCACCACUACCACCACCACCACCACCACUAUGCUCUGAGCAACUCCACCUUUCUCCACCGCCGCCGCGCCGUCGCCGUAGAGGAAUGUCUCCGCCACUUGGAUGGUAGCAGAGUGGUGGUCGGGAGGCACGAGAUUCUGAUUCGACCGUGGCCGCAUCCGGAUCCGGCGGAGGAAAAAAGAAAAAAAGAACUAGAAUGGCGUAGUGGAAUUCAGUUAAUCUGAAGGUGAUUUACAAUGUUUUGGGAUGGAUAUCUUUUGUGUGUUGGACCAUUAGUUUUCACCCGCAAGUUGUACUGAAUUUCGGGAGGAAAAGGUUAAUUUUCACUCUUUAAUUUCUUCAUUUCAUUUCAUUUUAUUGAUGAUUUACAAUAUUACUCUGAGGGGUUUGAGUUUUGAAUUGAUUUGAAUUUCGGGGAUGGAAUGUGGUGGGGCUGAAUUUAGACUAUGCAGUGUUGGGGUUUGUGAAGCAAUUGGCUAAUUAUCUGAAAAAUCACAAUCGUGUCCGUGAGAUUAUGAAAGUUUUUCCAAAGAGUUGCGUUGGAUCGAUUGAGCAAUACGAGGUUUUAAGUUUGCGUUAGCCUCAGAGCAGAAACUAAUAACUGGAAAGGUGGAGUAGUUUUUAAUAAUUAUUUGCAGAACUUUAUAUUGGUUUUCAAUAAUUAUGUACAUAUUGUUAUAGUUGUUUUCAAUAUUUUACAUAAAUCAUUAUAAAAAUCUGUAAAAAAAUUAUAGUGGUUUUCAAUAACUUUUGUACAUUUUUAUACAACUCUAUAUACAGAGUAGUUUUUAUGUUGACAUAGUUGUUAUACAUAGUAGUUUUCAAGUUUAUAUAGUUGUUAUACAUAGGGGUUUUCAUGUUAUAUAGUUGUUAUAUAGAGUGGUUUUCAUGUUUAUAUAGCUGUUUAUACAGAGCGGUUUUCAUAUUUAUUUAAAGUGAUUUUUAUUUAAAAAAAUGGAAAGAAAAUAAAAAAAAACCAUUUAAAAUAAAUUCGAAAUUAAGAAAAAAAAAGACCAUGAAAAAAAUAAAAUAAAAAUAAUUUUUUUUUUUGAAUUAAAAUAAAAAACAUGAAAAAUAUAAAUAAGAAAAAAAAUAAUUUAAAAUAAAAAACCGAAAAAAAUAAAAAUAAACAAUAAAUAAAUAAUUACAAAAUUUUCUUUUAAAUUGAAAAAAAAAAACCAUUAAACAAAAUAAAAAAGAAAAGGAAAAAAAACUGAAUUGGUAUGAUGAGGGGAAUAAUUUUUGGAAAAGAUUUGGGUGUAGAUUAUGGGUAUAAUAUUUUUUAUAUUAAACUAAUUAAUAAUUAGUGGUGGCAUAUAUGAUUUUUCAGGCCCAUUGAAUUUAUAUCAAAUAUCAUUUAUGAAUAUAUAUAUAUAUAUAUAUAUAUAUAUAUAUAUAUAUAUAUAUAUAUAUAUAUAUAUAUAUAUAUAUAUAUAUAUAUGGUUGAUCCUAAAAUAAAUAAAUCAAAUGGGCCUAGAAUAAAAGAAGCCCACGUAGUCUCAAGAAAAGAAACUUGUAAAAAGGAGUGUCGGGUUAAUUAGUUUCGGCCGACGGUCAAGUCAAUAGAAAUCGUGUGUGUAUAAUUAAAGAAACAUAACAAGAGUAAGAUGCAGUUGGAAUACCAGUUCCUCUUCUUUGCUUCUCUAUAAUGUAUUUAUACAUGUCUCAGGAACGGGGUGGUGGGCUCCCCUUCAGUCUCUGAUCAUACUCACACGUGGGUGUGACGUGAUUAAUUCAAGUUGCAUGUCUGCUGAAGGCGAGCUGUCCUAUUUUCUACGGGCUGAAUCAGUUCAAACGGGGAGAGCUCGUGGUUAUUAUCGACUCCUUUUAAAUAUCAAGUAAGUGUUUCCUUAAUCCAUGUCACAUUGCAGAUUUUCCACAUUUUUUUAGUCACAUCCGGCACCUAUUGUCACCCUACAUGGGCUAGUGGCUAGCUUAUUGAGCUACGCGGAAGUGGGCUUGGACGUUGUUUGUAGAAUCUUGUUGUUUGAACUUUUGAAGCAAUCUAGCCCGCCCGUAUCAAUAUAUAUAUAUAUAUAUAUAUAUGACUUAUAAAUCUUUGCUUAAUUACAUGUGGUCUUCUAUGUGAAGUGAACUAAGACAAGAGCUUUUAAUUAGAUUUAACAUAUAUAUAGAUAUAACUAAUUGGAACUUAAUAAAUUACAAUUCAAAAUGCAUUAUUGCAAUUACAAUUCAUUUUCACAUUCGACGAAAAAUGCGAAAAUUUACGGAUGUUACUAUACAAUAACAUCCCACGUAAAACUUAUUAAAUACAUAGGAAACUUUAAAUUAAAUCUUGUAAUAAAGCUUAGGCAGGGCACUGGAACCCAUACGGUGGAGUUUUGCCGCAGUCCACAAGAACUUGUAGAGCAAUAGGUAUAAGAAUAUUGAUGUUGAGCAGCUUAGCUUUAAUUGCGGUGCAAAGACAAAGGGCCGCGUCUAAGUCGACCAGCCCUUCGAGUACCGGGCAGCAUGCAUUCUUCGGGCUCUGCCCGAUUCCUAUGUGCACUAGCCCGCCUAAUACGUCCACACACGCCCCUAGCUUCAAUGUGUCGAUCGGGCAUUUUUCGGGCGACUUUUUUGCCGGCGGUGGUGGUGGGCACGGUGUUUCUUUCGGUGUCGGUGGUGGUGGCGGUGGAGGACAUGGAGUUUCCGGUGGUGGUUUUGGUACGACCGGUGGUUUUGGUGGUGGUUCGACUGUCGGUGGUUUUGGCAUGAUCGGAGGUUUGGGUAUGAUUGGAGGAUGGAUAACGGGUGGAUUAGGUAUGAUUGGAGGAUGGACAACGGGUGGAUUAGGUAUGAUUGGAGGAUGGAUAACCGGUGGAUUAGGUAUGAUUGGAGGAUGGAUAACCGGUGGAUUAGGUAUGGUCGGGGGAUACACAAUCGGAGGGUGCACAAUUGGAGGUUUAGGUACGGUUGGUGGUUCGACUACCGGAGGUUUUGGCUCGACGGGCGGUG
rnacentral:lncRNA from 1 species